rnacentral:rRNA from 1 species
GACGAACGCUGGCGGCGUGCUUAACACAUGCCAGUCGAACGGUGAAGCGCCUUCCUUUUUGGUGGGUGUGGAUGAGUGGCGAACGGGUGAGUAACACGUGAGUAACCUGCCCCCUUCUUCUGGAUAACCGCAUGAAAGUGUGGCUAAUACGGGAUAUUCUGGGUCUGUCGCAUGAUGGGUCUGGGAAAGAUAUUGUUUCGGUGGGGGAUGGGCUCGCGGCCUAUCAGCUUGUUGGUGGGGUGAUGGCCUACCAAGGCGGUGAGGGGUAGCCGGCCUGAGAGGGUGGACGGUCACACUGGGACUGAGACACGGCCCAGACUCCUACGGGAGGCAGCAGUGGGGAAUAUUGCACAAUGGGCGCAAGCCUGAUGCAGCGACGCCGCGUGAGGGAUGGAGGCCUUCGGGUUGUGAACCUCUUUCGCCAGUGAAGCAGGCCUGCCUCGUUUGUGGGUGGGUUGACGGUAGCUGGAUAAGAAGCGCCGGCUAACUACGUG